rnacentral:rRNA from 1 species
GUGGGGAAUAUUGCACAAUGGGCGCAAGCCUGAUGCAGCCAUGCCGCGUGUGUGAAGAAGGCCUUCGGGUUGUAAAGCACUUUCAGCGGGGAGGAAGGCGGUGAGGUUAAUAACCUCACCGAUUGACGUUACCCGCAGAAGAAGCACCGGCUAACUCCGUGCCAGCAGCCGCGGUAAUACGGAGGGUGCAAGCGUUAAUCGGAAUUACUGGGCGUAAAGCGCACGCAGGCGGUCUGUCAAGUCGGAUGUGAAAUCCCCGGGCUCAACCUGGGAACUGCAUUCGAAACUGGCAGGCUAGAGUCUUGUAGAGGGGGGUAGAAUUCCAGGUGUAGCGGUGAAAUGCGUAGAGAUCUGGAGGAAUACCGGUGGCGAAGGCGGCCCCCUGGACAAAGACUGACGCUCAGGUGCGAAAGCGUGGGGAGCAAACAGGAUUAGAUCCCCUGUAGUCC